AAACACAGACCAAAACUUGGAGGUCCACUGUGAUAGCUCAGUUGAAGAAGUACAAUAUUAAAACAAAAGCCAUGAGUCUUUUAAGCCCAGGGUAUAAAGAUACACACUGAGUUAUAACUUAGAGGCACGAUA
rfam:Otolemur garnettii contig071076, whole genome shotgun sequence.